UUGCCCCAGUAACGGCGAGUGAAGCGGCAACAGCUCAAAUUUGAAAUCUGGUCCCCAGGGCCCGAGUUGUAAUUUGUAGAGGAUGCUUUGGGCGCGGCGCCUUCCGAGUUCCCUGGAACGGGACGCCAUAGAGGGUGAGAGCCCCGUCUGGUCGGAUGCCUAGCCUGUGUAAAGCUCCUUCGACGAGUCGAGUAGUUUGGGAAUGCUGCUCAAAAUGGGAGGUAUAUGUCUUCUAAAGCUAAAUAUUGGCCAGAGACCGAUAGCGCACAAGUAGAGUGAUCGAAAGAUGAAAAGCACUUUGAAAAGAGGGUUAAAAAGUACGUGAAAUUGUUGAAAGGGAAGCGCCUAUGACCAGACUUGGGCCCGGUGAAUCAUCCAGCGUUCUCGCUGGUGCACUUUGCCGGGCACAGGCCAGCAUCAGUUCGGCGCGGGGGAUAAAGGCUCUGGGAAUGUGGCUCCCCCGGGAGUGUUAUAGCCCACUGCGUAAUGCCCUGCGCCGGACUGAGGUACGCGCAUUCGCAAGGAUGCUGGCGUAAUGGUCAUCAGCGACCCGUCUUGAAACACGGACCAAGGAGUCGUCUUCGUAUGCGAGUGUUCGGGUGUCAAACCCCUACGCGUAAUGAAAGUGAACGCAGGUGAGAGCUUCGGCGCAUCAUCGACCGAUCCUGAUGUUCUCGGAUGGAUUUGAGUAAGAGCAUACGGGGCCGGACCCGAAAGAAGGUGAACUAUGCCUGUGUAGGGUGAAGCCAGAGGAAACUCUGGUGGAGGCUCGCAGCGGUUCUGACGUGCGAAUCGAUCGUCAAACAUGGGCAUGGGGGCGAAAGACUAAUC
rnacentral:rRNA from 1 species